rnacentral:tmRNA from 1 species
GCUCUUGACAUUAUAACCCAAAUGUGGUAUAAAUAAAAUUGAGUUCGGUGACGCUUUGUAGAAAUGCAGUUAGGACUAGGGUGCGAUACCCUACACCUCCACCAAACCUAGAUAACCUCGACUUAGGGGGUGAAAUAGGUUUCGACUACUGACGAGUAUCUUAGCUGAGGAUUCACAACCAUAGAUGCAAACAAUAAUUUUGCAUAUGGAGAAUACAGCCUAGCGGCUUAAUUCUUCGGGGUUUGCCUGUACCUAGCAACAGAAACAGGCACU